CUGUGCUGCUGGAAUCGUGUUUCCGGGGCCAUGGCUCCUGAAGGCAGUGGGGUGUAGCCUCCACUCCUGGAGCUGCCGCCUAACCCACUGGCUUCUCCCUGAGGCCCUGCCAGGUGAGUGCUCCAGCCCUU